rnacentral:ribozyme from 14 species
AAAAACUAAAAAAACUAUUACAUGUAGUUACAUCCUUCUUUUUUUUUUUUUUUUUUUUCCUUCUCUCUCUUUCCAUAUCCGUUUACUUUGUAUAU